GGGAUCUGCUGGGAUAAGAGCUUUGCUCUCAUUUUGGUGAAGAGGCUCUUUCAGCUUAUCUCAGCUUGUUUUCAGCAGGUGCUUUUGGGCAUGUGGAGCAACAGAGGCUUUGAAGGAGGAGCACAACUUCCAUCAUGUCACAAAAGGCAUCUGCAUUGUGUCAAACAUGAUGUUUGAGACUGAGGCUUCAGAUGAGAUGAGGAUUGUGACUAGGAGAGGGAAGGUGCUACUCAUAAUAACAGCCACAGCCUUGGACUCAGGAUGAAGCUGGAGACUCAAGGACCCUGGCAUGCUCAGGAGAAGGCAAGUAGCUGACUUGCUGGGAUUUGGCCCACAUAACACAAAACUCAUACAUUGUUUUUUGUUUACUUUAUUGCAGCUGACUGAGAGGUUAACAGGUGACCAUGGCAGACCUGCUCUGAGGCAGACUCAUUUCAGGUCCAACAUGGAUUCACAUCACCAGUCAUCCAAAAGAUAAGUCGGGGGCCACGGCCUGGAGAUGGGAGGAUAGGAGAGUAGUGGGUUGGGAAUUCCUGGGACAGAUUUAAAAAUUAGCAGAGGGUAAAGGGAUGUCCUGUAAGUGGCCACUUAAGACAGCAUAAGGGAGACACUCUACCUCUGAAUGCAGCUGUAGGGUGCGCAGUGCAGAACAGUCCCGGUCUAUGUUGUGUUGUCCGGUGUACUGUUACCUACUGUGUGUUUGGGGCUUCUUGGAUCAGAUAUUUCUGCCUUUUCCUGUCAAGACCCUUACCACAAGCAUCAGCCAUCAUCUCUAGGUUCUCGAAGGCUCGCACUUCUCGGCAGGAUGCCGAUAUCAUUCGUUCUUUUACCGGGGGGCUUGACUGCGUCUCCGAGUCACAUCUCAGAAGCAUCGAGUCAGAUGUCUCUUGAGGCCUUGUGCCUGGCUGUAUCACCAUCCAUCCUUUCCAGCCAUGAGCUGUAAUAUCCAGGGGUUUAUAAGAUUGUGUGAUACGGAGAACAUUUUAAACAUAGCAUUGUCUCACAGCCAUCUUGAUCAUCAUGACCAACAGUUCUUAGAACAGGUCACUCUGUUCUAGUCUUUUCUUGUGCUCGUUGGAGGAGCCUCCUCCAUCCACUGUCACCUUAGCAUCAGUCAUCUCUUUUGGCGUUCUCUUGGUCCUUGCCAUUAUAAAUCUUGCCAGGAAAUUUUUUCUCAUCCUUGCCUCACACGGUGUGGAGCAUAAUGUGUUGUAUUUAGUGUCCCUAUUGUUUGUCAUGUCCUGUGUCACGGGUGUCUGCACAUAUUUUUGCCGGAGCUGCUCUGCCCUGCUGCAGAGUCUGGUGCGACAGGACAAGUCUCAGGGACUCGAAAUUUGUAGUGUGGGCUGUAGUUGGACUCUAGUUGGAUAUUCAUAGGUUGACCCAAGAUGUCUGGAGCUGUGAAGUGGUCCUGCAGCCCUUUGACAUUUUUCCUAACUUUCUUUCAGAUGCAGAUGGAUAAAAUCUAUGGCAGAGCGCCCCAUCCCAGGAAGUAAAGCCACAUAUCAGAAGUCAAGGCGCGGUGGUCAAGGCAAUCCAUUUGGAGUAUGCAUGACUCCCCAUCACACACUGGCCGAUGGACUGUGAUCAUUGCUCUUGUGAGCCCUGUGGAAGUAUUACAGGACUUGGUGAUGAAGCCUCUGCCUUUCCUAUUUAAAGGUGUCACCCGGGUAGCCUUUGGCCGCGGCUGAGGAGUUGCAGUGGACCCUGCGAUGACGGCGUCAGCCUCCGAGCGCAGCUGAAGCGUGCAGCAUUCAUAAGGGACCCAGGCAUUGCUAGGGGAAUGGUGAGUAGCAGAAUUGUUGGGUUUUGGCCGAUGUGCUGCCACGAUAGAGCAUUGAUGCUCUGUUUUCUCGAAUGCAGCUGACUAAGAGGCAACGGCCCGGUGACAGCAGGAACUUCCCAGAUGGCGAGGGGAGGUCUUUUGCACCUGACACGGAGUGGCAUCUGCAGAUAAGUCGAUGGCUGUGACCCAUAGAGGGGAUGAUAGUGGGGUGCUGGGUUGGGACUCACAGGGAGGGAUUUUUGAGUCUGCUUUGGAGUUAGGGAUGUCCAAGAAUUGGCCCCUUAGGCCACAGAAAAGCCAAGUGUCACUUUUGAUCCCAGUGCUGAGGUGUGCAGGGCAGAGCAGUCCUGGAGUGUAUCUUGUCAGUUGUCUAUUGUGCGUUCUGUGUGUUUGGCUUUCUCAUGUCUUUUACCUUAGCCCUUUGAGGGGCCUAUCAGAAACCCUGGCAUCAUUCUUAGCAUCUGCGAUCUCUGCAUUUCUUGGCCUGGCACCAAUGCCACAGGACUUUUGGCUCAGGAGCUCAGACAGGCAUCAGAAUUGCACCUCUCUUUAGGAGCAUCCAGUCAGAUGUCUUUGCAGGUCUUGUUCUGAGCUGUAUGUACCUUGCAAGGAUCCAUUAUUGCAGAUUAGGACUUGUAAGAAUGCGAGGAUAGGUAGAGGAUUCUGACUAUAGAAUUCACAGGCAUCCAUCUUUGCAGUUCUUAAAACAAAUCAUUCAGUUAGCAUCUUCUUCCUACCAGGGCUCUCUGAGCCCCAUCGGCUCACCAUCGGUCUCACCUCAGUCCUCUCAUUUUGCAUUCUCUCAAUCCUUCCAGUCAUUCUUCUUGCCAAGAGAUUCCUGUCCCUGUUGUGUCCCCCAUGUUUGUCCUGUCCUGUGUCACGGUUGUCUGCACGUAUUUGUGCCGGAGCUGCUCUGCCCUGCUGCAGAGUCUGGUGUAAUAGGACAAUUCCUGGGGGCUUGAAAUUUGUAGUGUGGGGUGUAGUUUGACUCUAGAUAUUAUUCCUAGGUUGACCCAAGAUGUCUGGAGGUGUGAAGUGGUCCUGCAGCCCUUUGACCUUUGUCCUAGCUUUCUUUCAGAUGCAGAUGGAUAAAAUCCAUGGCAGAGCAGCCCAUCGCAGGAAGUAAAGCCAUAUAGCAACAGUCAAGUUGAAGUGGUCAAGGCAAUCUACUCAGGUUAUGCCGAGCCCCUGUCACCAACCGGCCGAUGGACCAGGUUUGCUGCUCUCAUGAGCCCUGUGGAGGUAUUGCAGGACCCUGUGAUGAAGCCUUGAAAUUUUCUAUUUAAAGGUUGCUUCUGGGUAGCCCUCAGGAAUGGGCAACGAGCCGUGGU